rnacentral:rRNA from 1 species
CGAACGAUGAAGCCGCUUCGGUGGUGGAUUAGUGGCGAACGGGUGAGUAACACGUGGGCAAUCUGCCCUCCACUCUGGGACAAGCCCUGGAAACGGGGUCUAAUACCGGAUAUGACACACGGCCGCAUGGUCUGUGUGUGGAAAGCUCCGGCGGUGGAGGAUGAGCCCGCGGCCUAUCAGCUUGUUGGUGGGGUGAUGGCCUACCAAGGCGACGACGGGUAGCCGGCCUGAGAGGGCGACCGGCCACACUGGGACUGAGACACGGCCCAGACUCCUACGGGAGGCAGCAGUGGGGAAUAUUGCACAAUGGGCGCAAGCCUGAUGCAGCGACGCCGCGUGAGGGAUGACGGCCUUCGGGUUGUAAACCUCUUUCAGCAGGGAAGAAGCGUGAGUGACGGUACCUGCAGAAGAAGCGCCGGCUAACUACGUGCCAGCAGCCGCGGUAAUACGUAGGGCGCAAGCGUUGUCCGGAAUUAUUGGGCGUAAAGAGCUCGUAGGCGGCUUGUCGCGUCGGAUGUGAAAGCCCGGGGCUUAACUCCGGGUCUGCAUUCGAUACGGGCAGGCUAGAGUUCGGUAGGGGAGAUCGGAAUUCCUGGUGUAGCGGUGAAAUGCGCAGAUAUCAGGAGGAACACCGGUGGCGAAGGCGGAUCUCUGGGCCGAUACUGACGCUGAGGAGCGAAAGCGUGGGGAGCGAACAGGAUUAGAUACCCUGGUAGUCCACGCCGUAAACGUUGGGAACUAGGUGUGGGCGACAUUCCACGUCGUCCGUGCCGCAGCUAACGCAUUAAGUUCCCCGCCUGGGGAGUACGGCCGCAAGGCUAAAACUCAAAGGAAUUGACG